GCAGUGUUUAUUUCCCUCAGCACUUCCUGCUUCUCAGAUACUGAACAGAUUUUAAAUUAUUAUAAUUAAUUUAGGCUGCAUUGAUGAAAUUAGGAUAAAAUUUAUUAGUUUGUCUGUGGUUGAAUAGCAGAGCUUAUUUCUCUGGCAUUUCUACCAGCUCAGUUCCUCCUGGGUUGCUGUAGCUGGAAGCGGUAGCUAUUUCUUCCGAGUUCUCCUCUCUUCUCCCCUCCUCUCCCUUCCUCCACACCUCCCCUGACCUUCUGGGUCCCCCUACAUUAAAAGCACCCUGCAGAACAGAUUUGGCUUCAGGAAAAUAAUCGACUCAAAUCUUUCUCCUCCUCUUUUCCACCAUUCACACGGCACAAAGCACCAUAAGAAACUUCUUUUUUCUCCAUGUAUAAAUAAAGUUUAAUGGUGACAAAUUUGUAUAAGUUGAUUUCAAAAUGAUAAAAUGUAGACUCUGUGAAAAAAAGAUUUUCUUUAUGUUAGUAAGAGUUUAUGACAUGACAUGUUUGAUUUUUUCUUAUAAAAAGUCACAUACAAGUAUGGACGUGAAAACAUAAAUAAAAAGAUAAUAGUGAAACUGUAACUAAAACCACUACACAAAGAUAACCACUACUAAUAUUUUAGCAUGCAUAACUAAUUGCUUAUGUAUUUGUGAAUAUAGAGGGAAGAAAAUAGAUCUUCAAACUUUUUAAAACAUAAAGUACUGCCUUUAUAAUAAACAUUUUCAUUAUCACGUAGUACAAGAGCUUAAUGAUUUAUAACCUACUGAACAAUCGUCUUUUAACUCUGCAAGUUGUCUUGAAAAACCUCUCAUCACAAACACAGCUCAAGUCGGUGUUUUCGUGCACAAACCAUUGCAAACAUUGCAAUCAGUUCCUUGGGAUAGACCCUAAAGGCAGAGUUGAGAGUCAGUACCAAGUUAAUGGUGUCCUACAGGCCUUCCGGAGGAAGGUGACAGUCCCAAGAGUGGAGAUUUACCUGCUCCGUGAAGUUGGGAGGGAAGGGAGGUUGGCUGUUUGUAAACAGGAAAUGCCGUUCAAGGGGCUCACACUGAAAAGCGGUCUCAGAAACCCUAGGCACUCUGCACUCUUGAUUUUACCUCCUGGGGAGGGAACUUCCCUGUUGUCUAUUUUGCUCUUGCUCUACUUAUAUUUUUGUUUGAUUUUCAUUCCAAGUUUUUGGUGAGUCAAAAGAAGAAACAAUGUAAAUAAAAGGUAGCACUUGCUCUACUUUGCUUUUAAAAAACUAUUUAAACAAAUACAUGAAAGAGCUACAUUCAAAUCAAUAAGUUGCUACCUUAUUCCCUAACUCGGAAGAAACCAUACACACACACACACAGCUUGCUAAAUCUUUGUGCAAACCACUCAUCAUUCUAAUAUGAUUGAGCUCUAUUUUUGAUCUAACAACCUUAGAAGCUGUUUCUUGACUUCUGUCUAGUCAUCCAUCCCUUCUUAAAUUAUAAUACUAUUCUAAUUUUCUCUAUGGAUCUAUGCAAUCACAAACGAUAGACCUGAGUCUUUAUUCCUUGUCUCAUUAAUCUGAGAGAGAAUGUUUUGACACCAUUUUUAUAAAAGGUAGGAAUUCAUUUCCACCAUUCUUUCCUUCUUUUGCUAUUCAGUCUCUAUCCACUAUUCUUUCAUAUUUACAUGGUCAAAGUUAGAAAUGUUUUGUAUUUUUAAUUGUAAGUUUCCUUAUAGUGUCAAUAGCUUCACUUUAAAAUGGAUGUUGGUAUAAUGAGGAUACAUUGUAUAGAUGAUCAAGCAUUUAUCCACUGUUUGCAGUAAUCUAGUGCUUUGGGGUUUUUUUGUUUUUAGGGAGGGGGUUUGUUCCCCCUGAAGUUUUUCCACUAUGGUAAGGAGAAGAAGGCAUAGUUCACUUAUAAAAGAUGCAGAAAUGACCAUUUAGAAAUUCCCAUUGAGAAAGAAAAUGAAAUGUAAAUUCCUUCUUGCUUAUUGGGAAGAGAGAAUGCGAAGUACACAGGUCUACUUGCACAGAAGAUGUUCUGAUCAAGUCAGGUGAAGAUGAGCCUUGAGGAUGGAGCUUGUCAGCAAACUGCCAGACAGAUGUACACUGCCGGUACGAUGGUAGCAGGGUUUGUGUCGAUUGGCUCCUGCUCCCAGACAUGUGAUAUCUUGCUUCCAAGACUUGUUUCGGCUGUUAAUGGAAAUGCCUCUGUAGUUUCAAGGCUAAGUAUGAUCCUGUCUGUUGGCUUCAAGAGGUAGCCUUCAUUGUAAAGGCAGCAGAAGUCAGAAUGCAAGGCAAAUAAGUCAACAUGAAUAGGGAACUAACAGAGGUUCACAGCUAAAAGUUUACCUGGAUUCUCAGAAGAGACUUGGACUUUUGAAAAAUGCUGGAACUGUUGAGACUUUGGGAUGUGCCAUCUCAGGAAGAAAACUGGAGACAACCCCAUAACUUGGACUUUCACCACAGUGUUGCUGCCAGUUAAACUCUGACCUGUUACUGUCCCUCCCACAAGUCUUCCUUGACUACAUCAUUAUAAAAGAUAUUCUCCAAUAAUUACUCACUAGCCCAGUAUCUUGCUGUGUGUUUGUGUGUUUUUUAUUUAUAAUAAUAAUUAUUCCAAACUAGAGUAAUGAUAUUUAUUUGUUCUUUCUUCACGG
rnacentral:lncRNA from 1 species